rnacentral:rRNA from 1 species
UACGUAGGGUGCGAGCGUUGUCCGGAAUUAUUGGGCGUAAAGAGCUCGUAGGCGGUUCGGCAAGUCGGAUGUGAAAUCUCCACGCUUAACGUGGAGGGGCCAUUCGAAACUGCUGUGACUCGAGUCCGGUAGGGGAGUUCGGAAUUCCGGGUGGAGCGGUGAAAUGCGUAGAGAUCCGGAGGAACACCGAAGGCGAAGGCAGUCUCCUGGCAAGUUACUGACGCUCAGGUGCGAAAGCUAGGGGAGCGAACGAGGA